UACGUAGGGUGCGAGCGUUGUCCGGAAUCACUGGGCGUAAAGGGUGCGUAGGCGGGUCUUUAAGUCAGGGGUGAAAUCCUGGAGCUCAACUCCAGAACUGCCUUUGAUACUGAAGAUCUUGAGUUCGGGAGAGGUGAGUGGAACUGCGAGUGUAGAGGUGAAAUUCGUAGAUAUUGGGAAGAACACCGGUGGCGAAGGCGGCGCUCUGGACCGAGACUGACGCUGAGGCGCGAAAGCGUGGGGAGCAAACA
rnacentral:rRNA from 1 species